rnacentral:lncRNA from 1 species
AAAGCCUGACAGGUUUCUCCGGGAAAGUGACCAUCCAUGGAAUGAAUGAAAUGUUCCCUUUCUAUUCCUCGUGGGUCCAAGCCUGUAGCCCCAAAUCGGAUAAUCUCUGCAGCUGAUAACAAGCAAAAGAGAAGCCAGGCAACAGCCAUAUUAAAGAAGAAAACAAUCAACUCUGAGGAUACAGACAGGCAUGCAGAAGUAACUAGACGUCCAACACAUGGCAAAGUCUUGCGGGCCCAGGAUUUCAAACAAAAGAAAACUCGGACAGGAGUGCUCUGCCCACCUGGACUGAGGGAACAGCCCUGGCAAAGUCUCAAGACAGGUCAAGAAACUGGGGAAGGCAAUCAGCUCUUGCAUCGUCCACAUUGUUUCUGGAGCACAGCCUGGCUGAUCCUGGGGCUAGAGCUCAGAACCAGAUCCAGCUUAGAAAUAAUGUUUCACUCAAGAUAA